GCUGAUUGUUAAGGUAGCAGCCCGUUAGCCUAGCUUAGCGUCAGGACCGGAAACACACGGAAAACUAUAAAACUAUAUAGUUUCGGCGCCAGAUAAUAAGAAAGGAGCUGAGAGGAGACGUCAGCUAUGCAGACGAUGGGUCAUCAGCGCCUGUGACAGCGUCCAGCUGCGGCGUCCUUCAGGGAGAAGAACCAGGCCUCAGUCACGUCACUUCCCUGACAUCAAAGUGACCGUGACGCCGCAGCAGACCGCCGCUGACGGACGCCUUUUUGCCUCGUGCAGUCAGGACGGCCGCCAGACGACUGUAAUCGGACCGACAGGUGACACCAGAGGAGGAGGCGGGGGGGAGACGAGUCGAGUCAUGAGACCUGCACCUCCUCCGAGAGCAGUAAGUGUGGAAAGAGCAAGCAAAUCAGUGGAGGAGGAGGAGGCAGCUCUGAUCC
rnacentral:lncRNA from 1 species